rnacentral:rRNA from 1 species
GGGUUGUGAGGUUAAGCGACUAAGCGUACACGGUGGAUGCCCUGGCAGUCAGAGGCGAUGAAGGGCGUGCUAAUCUGCGAUAAGCGCCGGUAAGGUGAUAUGAACCGUUAUAACCGGCGAUACCCGAAUGGGGAAACCCAGUGUGAUUCGUCACACUAUCAUUAACUGAAUCCAUAGGUUAAUGAGGCGAACCGGGGGAACUGAAACAUCUAAGUACCCCGAGGAAAAGAAAUCAACCGAGAUUCCCCCAGUAGCGGCGAGCGAACGGGGAGGAGCCCAGAGCCUGAAUCAGCAUGUGUGUUAGUGGAAGCGUCUGGAAAGGCACGCGAUACAGGGUGACAGCCCCGUACACAAAAGCGCAUAUGCUGUGAGCUCGAUGAGUAGGGCGGGACACGUGGUAUCCUGUCUGAAUAUGGGGGGACCAUCCUCCAAGGCUAAAUACUCCUGACUGACCGAUAGUGAACCAGUACCGUGAGGGAAAGGCGAAAAGAACCCCGGCGAGGGGAGUGAAAAAGAACCUGAAACCGUGUACGUACAAGCAGUGGGAGCACCCUUUGGGGUGUGACUGCGUACCUUUUGUAUAAUGGGUCAGCGACUUAUAUUCUGUAGCAAGGUUAACCGCAUAGGGGAGCCGGAGGGAAACCGAGUCUUAAU